GGAGGAUUGGCCGAGUGGUCUAAGGCGCACGCUUGGAAAGCGUGUAAAGGGCAACCUUUCGAGAGUUCGAAUCUCUUGUCCUCCGCCA
rnacentral:tRNA from 1 species